AGCUUAAAGUGGAAGCGCAUUCAACCGAGGGAAGGCUAUCGCGACGCUUCAGUAUUCUUCCACGCCCGUCCACCCAUCAUGACACUUGUAGGAAACGAGGAACUUUACUACUUAGUUCUUAUCUUUCAAUGAGCGGACUCAGCGGACGGCAAAGAGAAAUUCUCCGAAGAAUUUCUUUAGUGAUAAUCGCAAAGUAAGCUGAAUCCGCUUUACAGAUGCCGCGACGAUCAGAGAAGGUAUUAAAGUUUCAUCCAAAAUGUAUCUUUCUGAUAUAAAAGUCAAGCGAACCAUACUCCUCAAAUAAUGUCUCCUUGAAAAUUAUUUUACGACAGAAUCAUUAUAUCAUAAUCAGCGGCAAUUACUCUUCAUAAUGCACUUUCUUCAAUUCAAUUUACAUAAUUGACCACAAUCUGGAAAAGUUAAGUGAAAAACGGAAAAAGUACUCUACGCACUAAUUGUAUGACAUAAGAUAUUUUUUUUUUCGUAUGAAGGAGGAAAAAGUAGUUCCAAAAGUUUAUGUAACAUGAAAAGAUAUUCAUUAAAGUGAUGUUUCUCACUUUGACAGUGGAUCGUAUGGAAUAUCUUAGAUACGAAUCGCAACAUGAUACUUACAGUGCAAUAUAUAAAACAUGAAACAGAUUUAACUACGAUCGCAAUGCGACAACGCUUGUACUCCAAAUGUAUCUAAAUCCAUUUACAGAUAAAAAUCCACAGUGAUAUUAAUUUCGUGUAGUAAAUGUCAACUAAUUAUUUAGUUUACCAUCUAUUUUUGGGCGACAUGAAUGGAGAGUAUUCUGCAUGUUUCAUGCACGGUAGUAUCUGCGGAAAAAAAAAACCAAAUAUUGUCGGCAGAAACUAUAUGUUUUUGAACUUUCCAUCGUUAUUAACCGACCAGUGGAAAGAGCAGAAAGAGUAACUAAUAAAAAUAAUUAAAUAAUCUCA